AAAAUAAGAAACCCACUCUGGAUUUCGCCGAAAGGCCCGAAACCGACUCCGGAUUUUGCCGACCUAGUUUGCUAUAUAUACCCACCCAACCCUUCUCAUAUUUCAUAACUUGCUUUUUAUUUUUUUGUAAGAUUUUUUGUUUGGUACCGAUUGCGAUGAUAUUUUCAAUACGUCUAUGAUUGCUUUCAGAGAUUCAGGUUUUCUUUGUUACGAAUCAGAGUUGCAGGUUUUCUUUGUAACAAAUCGGAUAUGAUUUUGUUGAUGCUAUCUUGUAGAAAAGAGCUUUAAGCUUUCAGAGUUACAUGGAUUUAUGUUUAUACUUGCAAAUUAGGGUUUUGUUUUUUUCAAUACCUGGCGGUUUUCUAGGUUUUCUUUCAAGAAAUUGCAAAGGGAUUUCAGAUUUAUAUGGAUUUAUCUUGAAUACGUUGGUGACUGCUCUGUUUUUAAGCUGUCAGAGUUACCUGGAUUUAUGUUAAUACUUGCGAAUUAGGUAUUUCUUUCAAUACCUUGGCGGUGAUUUUCUAGGUUUUGUUUCAAGAAAUUACAGGAAUUUCAGAAUUAUAUGGAUUUAUCUUGUAUACCUUGGUGAUAGCUCUGGUUUUCUUUGCUUUGAUAGCUCUGGUUUCAUCGUUUUUUUGAGAAAUUUUUGAGGGAGACGGUAUUGAUUUAUUACUUUAUUGUGUAUGACUCUUGUGAUCGCUCUGGUUUUCUUUACUCUGGUUUUCUAGGGUUAACCCUAGUUUCGUUCAAGAAGCUGGCCAUCGUUUUUUUUUGAGAAAUUGCAGAGGGAGACGGUAUUGAUGCUAUCUUGUGGAAGAGGGUUUUCCUUUGAGAACUAUAUGGAUUUAUCUUUCGCAACUACUGCUAUUCUGAGUUCAUGUUAAAAAUGCCAAUUACAAGAAAAUUUCUGUGUCCGUGGCAGGGUUUGAUUUGGUGAUAAGCUUCUAUUUUUUGCUAUCUUGAAGAAGAAUUAUAGGGAUAGUUUUCUGCUUGUUUUAAUCCAUUCUAAUACUUGGCCUGUGACUGCUUGUAGGCUUUGGUUUUGAAGGGGACUAUAAAUUCUGGUUCACUCAGUAAGGGUUGAAACAUCCAUUUUAUCUCGUCUUGUUUAAUAUUUGGUAACACCCUCUUAUUGGUGUGUGCUUUCUGGGAAAUACAUAUCAUAAUCUUAGAUUGUUGCUGAUUGAUGUCGUGGAAAGUGGGUGAGAAGAUAGUGUUCUUAGUUUGAAGUGUUCUGGAUUCAUAUUUAUCAACUGAGGUACAUAUGCUUUUUCAGAAGUUGGAGAUGUUCAUUUUGUAGUUUUGUGAGGACAAUUUUUUGUCAUUUUGAUCUUGAUAUGUGUACAGCAGUCAAAUUUGUAAAUAAAUAAAAAAAUCUUUAUGUUACUCUAUUGAUUUCAAGUUUUUUUAUUUAUUUAUUUUAUUAAGUCUUUCAAUAUACUGUUUCCUACUAUACAUUCUCUAUUCUAUUUAUUCUAUAGAUUUUGGUCCUCAGCAGCUAUUUUAAGGUGUUUGCAUCACAGUUCUUUUGAUAAAAGUUUGAAAGGUUUGCAUCAUAAGUUUCGGUUACCAAGGAGCUAAUUCGUUCAGAAAGGUUUGCAUCAUAGUUUGUAACCUUAGAUUGUUGCUAAUUAAUUUCCUAGUUGUAGAAAGUGAGUGGGUAGAUACUGUCAUUGUCCAAUUAAGUCCAUUUUCAGGCUGAAGUUUUUGCCAUUUUGAUCUGUCUACAGGAGUGGAAACUGAUAUGGGAUUUCUUGUACUUGAGCAGUCGAGUUUGUGUAGAAGUCUUAAAUCUUUCUCAAACGACUGCUCGUGUAGAAGUCUUAAAUCUUUCUCAAAACUUAAACUGUGUAGACUACAACAAUAAGAAAACUCAUACUGUCUUAAAUUUUACAUUUUUCUUAUAAGGCCUUUAAUAUAGUGUUCCCACUAACUGUGAUAUUAUACUGUCUUACAUUUUACAUUUUCCUUGUUCAAUUUAUUUAUAGGUUUUGGUCCUCAAUAGAUGUUUUAAGGUAUUUGUUUUGGUGAAGUUGCCUUUCCUUGAUUGAUGUGGUUCUUGUCUAUAGGAGCAUGAUUCCUUAUUGUUGUCUCGCUGAUAAUUAUGAGUUUUAAAAAGUUAAAAUAACAUUGUAAAAAAAAAAUACUGGUGCUUCCAUUAUGUGUAUUUUAGGAUCCAUUUGUUCGGCUUUAACUAAUCUCAGUGUUACUCGGCAUUUUUGUUCCAGUUCCUUUUUCUAACUGCCAUCUACAUGCACUUAUUACAACUUUUAAGAACCUAAGAUUGUCAAUUUUGUCAUUGGGCAGUCAUAUAAGAUAAGAGCUGCCAGCUUUAAAAAUGGUUGUUUGAAUGCCAGAAAAAUAUAAGUUUUACCUUGUAUGGAAGAGUUCUUCUAUUCGUUAUGCAACUUUUGCAAUUGUAGGGAAACAAUCUCACUGGAAUUUUUUUUUUGGUGCUUGGCAGCUUAAGGCUUGCUGUUCUUGUUGGCAGCUUAAGUGAUGGAGUUUAGUUUGGCGAUAAGAAAUCUUUUCUGUCCCCUUGUUUUCUUUAUUCUCUCCUUCAAUCAUAUGAAUUAUAAGGAUAUCCCUAUUGUUUUCUAAUAUUGGGCAACAUACGCUUUUUUUUAGGAUCUGGUUUCCUUGAGGAUUAUAAAUUUCAGUCUCACUGAACGAGGGUUUGAAAGUUCCAUUGAAAUUCUUGUCCUGCUUUCUAGUUCGACUUUAGUCAUUCUAUUUUGGCAAGCUUAUAUCUAAUUCGUAUGUGGUAAUACCUUUUAUUAGUGUGGGUGGUUCCUGUGGUGACUUGCAUGAGUUGGGCUUUGAAUUUUCAUAAUAGUCAAUAUCGAUUUAUUGUCAUUGGCAGAUUGAUAAGAUAAGAUCUGCGCCUUAAAAAUAGCUGUUCUCUAAAUACAAGGUAAGUUUAGGUCUGUGCUUCCUUCUACCUACUCUAUAGGUUAGUUGGUUGGGUUUCAAAGUUAUGUAGUUUUCUCUUAUAUUGUUGGAUCAUGCUCUGGGAUAGGAGGGUUUUAAUGAUUUUUUUACUCCUAAAUUAAUCUGUUGAAUAUGUGUAGGUAUGGUAUGUCUACUUGGGAUGGAGUUUGAUGAGUAUCUAAGGCAAUAAUCUUUCUUUAUCAGUUGAUUUCACGAUUCUCUUCAUAAUAGCUGAAUGAUAAUGUUUCUGCUUGUGUGUUUUUUAAGUUCAUUGGCCUGGAACUUCAUUUUGUUAAUUGAAGUCUUGCUAUUUGUUGUCUAUUUCACCAUCGAUAUCAUUUUUGUUAGCCUACAACUAGAGGUUUAUUAUAUCUUGCUAUUUGUUGGUAGUCAGAAUUCUUGAAUCUUGAUGUGUCUACAGAUUGGGAAAUUAUGAUUUACAAUCUUGAUGUUUCUACAGCAGGGGAAAUGGUGAUUUAAUUGCACAAUAAAGUGCAUAGAAGUAUUGAAUUUUUAUAUGAGGAUCUAAGGCAAUAAUUUCUUUUUAUCAAUUUAUCUCAUCAUUCCCUCCCCAACAUGUGAAGAUUAGUUUUUUUGCUUGAAUGUUUCUCUAGUUUGUGCUAACAAUGGAGUUUCAUUAUGUCCUGCUAUCUAUUGCUAAUUCAAAGACUUUAAUCAUGAUGUGUCUACAAGUGGAAAAAUUAUGAUGUACUUUUUCAGCAAGAGUGUUUAAAAGUCUUUCAAUUAUCAUUCUCUUUUGAUUUCACCUUUUUUUACCCUUGAACAUGAUCUUGUCUCUUGUUCAAUUUAUUUUAUGGGCUUUGUUUCUUUGCAGAUUUUUUAAGGCAUGUAUGUUGGAUCGAUGUCUGCUUUUCUAAAUUUAUUUGAUCCUCUUUAUUAGGAGCCCAAAUAUGUAUACUGUCUCUUCCCUUAUCGUUGUCCGGCAGGUUAUUAUUUAUUUAUUGAUAAAUAACGUAAGAACUUUUUAUUAGGGAAUAGCCCACCCAAGUACACUGGAAAUGUACUAUAUUGGCAGAAAUUAGUAACCCAAAUUACAAUGAUCAAGAAGAGCAGGGAGGGACAAAGAAGUGCAUGAAGGUAAAACUAAGCACCAUUCAAGGAGAGUGUGGAAGAAAAAGGAUUGGCAGGUUAUUAUGUGUUCCAAGUAUUUAAAAUUCAAUUUGUAAAUGAAAGUUGCUGACUUUAAUAAACUCUAGCAUUGCUCAUCAUGGUUGUCCUGGUUCCUUUUUCUAUUGCCAUCAACUUGCACUCAUGACAACUUUAGAACUUAAGAUCAUUUUUUUCUAUUGCCAUCAGCUUUGGUCUAUAUUGUGAAAAAUAAAUAAUAAAUUGCGAUUCAUUAUUGGGAAAUAUUUGCAUUCUUUAAACAUGGAUGCUCUUUAAAUUCCAGAACAGCACGUGUAUGCUUCCUUGUGUCUUCUGUAUAGGUUUUAAAGUUAUAACUUCUAUGGAUGUGAUUUGUAUAGUUGGAUUGUGUGGGGGUGAUGUUUUGGGGCUUAUGGCUCUGUUGCUCCAAUUCUUGUGUUUAAAAAAUUUCAUGCUGUAUAUCUACUUGGGUGGCAAAGUUUGAUGGUGGACCUCAGGUAAUAAGCUCUCUUUAUGUCUAGAUUUCAUUAUUAUUUUUCUUAAUUUGAAGUUUUCAGUAUUGGAGUUAGAAAAAAAAUUUGUUGGACUGACAUUGGGUUGAGAACAGGCUUCUAUUGCAGCUGUGUUUUAGUUGUUGCUUUUGAUCCUAAUACUCCCUUAACUACUUGCUUGACCCUUAAGAGGUUUUUGGUUUUCUGUUAUAUAUACAAUGAUAAUAAUGACUAAUUAUUUUAAUCUACAUUUUUAUUAUUGGAGAUUGGAUAUCUUGCUUGUCUACUUUGUCAGUUUUUUUAAUUUAAGUGGUGAUGCAUUUGUGGUACUUAAGCUAGGUUGAUUUUGUUUGGUUGCUUCUUGAUGAAACAUGCUUUUGAGUAGUCUUGCUCUUUAUAAAACUUUUUAUAUUUUCCUGUAGAAGUAAAAUCUUAUAAUAUAUAAUCAUUCCAAACUAUGUAGCUGGAAUUCUGUUUUUCAGUUUGCUCGUGUGGUCAUCUUUCGUGCUUGUACAUUUGUCUUCUUGUCUUGUUUCUAUUGAUGUUUCUUGCUUCUAGUGGAACCUGGUUUUGUUGUGCCAGCAGCUCUUUUUCUAAUUUGGACUGUCACAUUGUCUGCAUGCAGGAAGCAAGAUGUUUUUUUUUGGGUGCUUCACAGCUUAAGCAGCUGAGUUUGGCGAUAAACUCCCUUUUUCUUCCCCUUUGUUUUUCUCUCCUUCAAGCUUAAUAAUUUUAAGGAUACAUAUUUGUUUUAAUUCUGUCUAAUACUUGGGUUUGUGACUGAAUUUCCUAGGUUUCAUUUUUGAGAAGAAUUAUAAUUCCAAGUCUUGCAAAGUGAGGGUUUGACAUUUCUAUUGCAAAUUUUCUUCCUUUGUCUUGUUGUCUUAUUUUAUUUUUGGUCAUUAUGUGUUGGCAACUUCAAUAAUGAAUUCAUAGCUUAAUCUGGCAAUGCUAGUCCACAAUUAUAAUCGUAGUGUGUCUUGAAUAUGGUUUAUGAGGGAAAGCUUUUGCUUUCUCUUCUCCUGGCAUUUGUGGGCUUUCUGGGAGUUACAGUGGUAUGCAUCGUAAUUUGUUAACUUGGAUUGUUGCUACUUGAUUUCCUUGUCCCCCAAUAUCUGGCAUCAGAGAAGAGCUUGGCUUUCUGAGUUAGAAAGGAUUUAUCUUUAUAUUUUUGCAUUCUUUGAAAUAUAGUUGUUUUUUCAUUUGUUGUUUUGCAACUCCUGUGAUUCUCUGUGCAUGUUAAAUUCUAUUACUUAUAUGUAUAUAGAACUGUUUUUUUUUUCCUUCUGCUGUACUUGGCAGUUUAAGCAGCCAAGUUUGAUUAGGUUGAUAAAUUUUCUUUUUCUCCUGCUUUCAUCUUUCUCUUUUGCAAUCAUGAGAACUUAAAAAACUUUUGGCUUGUUUAAUUUCUUUUGAAAUAUAUAGUUCUUUCAUUUGUUGUUUUGCAACUUCUGCAAUUCACAUAUUAAAAAUCUAUUCUUUGUUUGUCUACAGGAACUAGGUUUUUUUUUUUUUAAAUUUUGUGUGUGUGUGCUUAGCAGCUUUAAUAAACUGAACUUUUCAUUUGGUGAUAAGCUCUGUUUUCUGCCAGCUUUCAUUAUUCUCUCGCAAUCAUAAGAAUUAUAAAUUUUUUGUAUUGUUUUAAUUCUUUCUGAUACUUUUGCCUGUAAAUUCUUUUCUUAGGCUUUGGUUUCCUUGACAGCCAUAAAUUCAUGUCUUACCUAGGGAGGGCUUGAAAUAUCCCUUGCAAUUCUUCUUGUUUCUUUGUCUUCUCUUGUUUUAAUUUUAGUCAUUCAGUUCGAAUGUGGUAAUGCCUGUUGAUGUUGAGGGACUGGUAGAUUAACAAAGUUUUUGACCUUAAUAUGGUUGCCAGGAAUGAGUUAGGCUUUCUAGGAAUGACUUGGUGCAUGGUUUCUUUUUAAGGCAUUUCUUGAGGGACAGGUAGAUUAAGAGAAUGGUCCUGGUAUGACUUCAUUCCAUUUAUUUAAUAGAUUUGGGUGCGAGGUUUAUUUAUUUUUUUAAAGGUGUUUGUUGCAGCAAGCUUCUGUAGAUCAAUUUGUUUCUUCUAUUGGAGUAUAAUACGUGAAGUUUCCUUUCCGUUAUUGUUGGCUGGCUGGUAAUUAUGGAUCUAAAAUUUAAAAUUUUUUUCUUGUUCUCUUGGUUUCACUUUUUGCGCAUACAUCUUUUAAUAUAUUGUUCCCUCAAAAGGAAUCCUUGUUCCUUGUUGCACCAAACUUCUAUAGAGAUUGAUUGAUGCUGAAUGCGGUUUAAUUUGGGGCCAUUUUAUGUUUGCAAGGUCAUCGCUUAUUGGAAUGUGGUAAUUUCUCUUAUUGGUAUGGUGCAGGUAGAUUGAUGCUGAUCUUGUGAUUGCCCAGGUUGAGUUCUUCAGGUUAUUGGUUUGUCCUGUGAUUGGCAUGACAUAGGCUUUUUGUGAAUCGAAUUCUUUUAACUUACACAUUUGGUCUUAUUAUUAUUAUUUGUAAAAAUUCUGUGAAUCAAAUUCUUUUAAUCUAUGUAUUUGGUUUUUGCAUUAUUAUUUGUAAAAAUGGUAUGUUGAUUGAUUGAUUUCCUGGUCAUAGAUGUGUUUUGAGUAGAUGCCACCCAUGUCGAACCAAGACUUCCCCCCCUUUCCUUAUUAAAAACUGCAGUUUAAAAUGGGGGAAAAAAAUUAAGCACAUAGCAUAUUAGUUCGAUUGGUGGGAAAAAAAAAACAUUAAAAAUAGUAUAUUUCUAUUAUUACAAUUGGGUAAGUUAGAAAUAGUGACAAGUAAAAGGAUUACGAAUAGAAAUCUUCUUAAAAAAUACUUUUUUUUUUCGUAUAGAUAAUCUCUCGAUGAAGCUGGUUAUCGUUUUUUUGAGAAAUUGCAGAGGGAGACGGUAUUGAUUUAUUGCUUUAUUGUGUACGCCUCUUGGGGAAGAGAGUUUUCCUUUUCGAACUAUAUGGACUUAUCUUCUAUAGCAACUAAACUACAAGAAUUUUCUGUGUCCAUGACAGGGUUUGAUUUGGCGAUAAGCUUGUUUUUUGUUAUUUUAAAGAAGAAAUAUACUAAUAUAGGGAUGGUUUUCUGCUUGUUUUAGUCCAUUCUAAUACUUGGCCUGUAACUUCUUUUCUAGGCUUUGGUUUUCAAGAGGACUAUAAAUUCUGGUUCACUCAGUAAGGGUUGAUACUUCCAUUGCAUCUCGUCUUGUAUAAUAUUUGGUAACACUCUUAUUGGUGUGGGCUUUCUAUGAAAUAAAUAUCAUAAUCUGGUUGCUGAUUGAUGUCAUAGAAAGUGGGUGAGAAGACACCGAUCUUAGUCUGAACUAUUCUGGAUUCAUAUUUAUCAACUGAGGUACAUAUGCUUUUUCAAAAGCUGGAGAUGUAUGUUUUGUGGUUUUGUGAGGACAAUUUUUUAUCAUUUUGAUGAUCUUGAAAUGUAUUGUAAUUUGGAGUUGGGCUUUAUUUACUUUAACUAUUGAUUUCACGUUUAUUUAUUUAUUUAUUUAUUUUAUAAGUCUUUCAAUAUAUUGUUCCCUACAAUACAUUCUCUAUUCCAUUUAUUUUAUAUAUUUUGGUCUUCAGCAGCUGUUUUAAGGUGUUUGCACCAUAGGUUACGAUUACCAAGGAGCUAAUUCGUUCAGAAAGGUUUGCAUCAUAGUUCGUAACCUUAGAUUGCUGCUGAUUGAUGUCAUAGAAAGUGGGUGAGAAGAUAGUGUUCUUAGUCUGAAGUAUUCUGGAUUCAUAUUUAUCAACUGAGGUUUUGGUCCUCGAUAGCUGUUUUAAGGCCUUAGUUUUGGUGAAGUUGGCUUUCCUCGAUUGAUUUGGUUCUUGUCUAUAGGAGCACGAUUCCUUACUGUUGGCUUGCUGGUAAUUAUGUGUUCUAAAAAGUUAAAAUAACAUUGUUAAAAAAAAAACUGGUGCUUCCAUUAUGUGUAUUUUAGGAUCCAUUUGUUUGGCUUUAACUAAUCUCAGCAUUACUUGGCAUUUUUGUUCCAGUUCCUUUUUCUAACUGCCAUCUACAUGCACUUAUUACAACUUUUAAGAACCUAAGAUUGUCAAUUUUGUCAUUGGGCAGUCAUAUAAGAUAAGAGCUGCCAGCUUUAAAAAUGGUUGUUUGAAUGCCAGAAAAAUAUAAGAUUUAUAUUGUUAUGCAACUUUUGCCAGAAAAAAUGGUUCUUCUAUUUGUUAUGCAACUUUUGCAAUUGUAGGUGCAUGUGAAAAGAUCUCAUUGGAAUUUUUUUUUGGUGCUUUGUUAGCUUAAGUGAUGGAGUUUAGUUUGGCGAUAAGCAAUCUUUUCUUUCCCCUUCUUUUCUUUAUUCUCUCCUUCAAUCAUAUGAAUUAUAAGGAUAUUUUCCCUAUUGUUUUCUAAUAUUAGGCAAUAUAUGCUUUUUUUUAGGAUUUGGUUUCCUUGAGGAUUAUAAAUUUCAGUCUCACUCAACGAGGUUUGAAAGUUCCAUUGAAAUUCUUGUCCUUUUGUCCUGCUUUCUAGUUUGACUUUAGUCAUUCUAUUUUGGCAAGCUUGUAUCUAAUUCGUAUGUGGUAAUACCUUUUAUUAGUGUGGGUAGUUCCUGUGGUGAUUUGCAUGAGUUAGGCUUUGAAUUUUCAUCAUAGUCAAUAUCGAUUUAUUGUCAUUGGCAGCCAAUAUGAGAUAAGAUCUGGAUGCCUUAAAAAUAGUUUUUCUCUAAAUACAAGGGAAGUCUAGAGCUGCUUCCUUGUACCUACUCUAUAGGUAUGGUAUGUCUACUUGGGAUGGGGUUUGAUGAGAACCUAAGGCAAUCUCUCUCUAUCAAUUGAUUUCACUAUUCUCUUCAUAAUAGUUGAAUGAUAAUGUUUCUGCUUGUGUGUUAUUUUUAGUUCAUUGUCCUGCGGCUUCAUUUUGUUAAUUGAAGUCUUGCUAUUUGUUGGUAGUCAGAAUUCUUGAAUCUUGAUGUGUAUGGAGAAAUUGUGAUUUAUAAUCUUGAUGUUUCUACUGCUGGGGAAAUGGUGAUUUAGUUGUACAAAAGAGUGCAUAGAAGUCUUGAAUUUCUAUAUGAGGACCUAUGGCAAUAAUCUCUUUUUAUCAAUUUAUCUCAUCAUUUUCUCCCCAACACAUGAAGAUUAAUGUUUCUGCUUGAAUGUUUCUUUAGUUUGUGCUAAACACCGAAGUUGCAUUAUGCCCUGCUAGUUAUUGCUAGUUCAAAGACUUUGAUCAUGAUGUGUCUACAGGAAGAAAAGUUAUGAUUUACUUUUGCGGCAGGAGUGUGUAGAAGUCUUUUGAUUAUCAUUCUCUUUUGAUUUCACGUUUUUUACCCUUGAACAUGAUCUUGUCCCUUGUUCAAUUUAAUUUAUGGAGUUUGUUUCUUUGCAGAAUUUUUAAGGUGUGUAUGUUGGAUUGAUGUGUUUGGAAUUAACUUGUGUCCAUGGAUUUUUAUCAUAACUAUAAUCUUGAAUUGUUGCUGAUUAUUUUGUAGCCAUCAAAAGUGAGCAGAUACUGUCGAACCUAGUCCGUUGUUAAUCUCUGCUACAAUCAUAAGAAUUAUAGGGAUAAUAUUUUUCUUGUUUAAUUUCUUUCUAAUACUUGGGCAUGUGAAUGCUUUUCUUAGGUGUUGGUUUUAUAGAGGUUUUGAAACUUCCAUUGCAUUUCAGUGUGGUAAUGCGUCUUAAUGGUGUCGGGCAGGUAGAUUAACUGAGUUUGUGUGCUAAAUAUGGCUGUCAUGGGAAAGUAAUUAUGAUAUUUCUUUAUCCUGUAGUGACGGGCAUGAGGAGUGCUUUCUGGAAUUAACUUAUCUCUCUGGAUUUGCAUCAUAAUUGUAAUCUUGAAUUGUUGCUGAUUUGAUUUUGUAGUCAUUGAAAACAAGAAGAUACUGUUUACAUCCUUCCUAAUCCUUUGUUAGUCCGAAGGUUUUGCUAUUUUCGACUCAAAUUCACUAAAGAACAAUAUUCUUCUUUACAAGUUGCCAAUGUUUGUUUUGUAAAUUUGUGAGGGUGAUGUUUGGUGUUAUUGAUAACAGUAUGUCUACAGGAGGGGAAAAUUGUGAUUUGGACUUUAAUAUGCCUGAGCAGGUUUUUGUGUUGUGUUGACUGCAACAAUAAGCAAUCUCUUCCCUUCUCUUGAUUUCUCCUUUUGCUUAUGAGUCUUUUAAAACAUUGUUUGCCCAAACAUGAUACUAUUCAGUAUUUUUGUUCAAUUUAUUUUACAGAUUUUGGUGCUUGGCUAUUCGCUGCAGCAAAAUUGACUUCUCUAAAUCAAUCUGGUAUCCUACUUGGGAAAUAAAGUUUGUUGGGGACCUAAGGCAUUAAUUAAGCUCUCUUUAUCUCUGUAUGUCAUUAUUCUUAUCCUAAAAUUUGAAGAUAUAAGUAUUGGAUUAAGAUAUUUAUGAGUGAGGAAAACAAAUUGUAGUACUGACAUCACACUUUUCUUUGGUUUUCGCAAUUAAUUCAUAUUGCUAUUUUUCCCAUUAUUGUGACUUUAAAGUUUUUAUAUUGAUUAUUGUUGUUUAUAAUAACCUUUUUGCCACUGUGUUUUAGAUUAUACUUUUGAUCUUUAUUCUCCUGUACCUACUUGCCUGACCUUUUUUCUAUCUUCAAAUAAUAUUGUUGGUUUUAUUUUAUUUUAUUUAUAUAUAUAUAUAUAUAUUUUUUUAAUUUUUUAAAUUUUUUUCUAGCUUAGAUUUUGUACUUCCCAGGCUGCGCGCUAUUAGGGUUUAUUUAAUUCUAGGGGUGCUGAAUUUGCUUGCGGUGGACCUAAGGUUGAUUUGGUUUUUUUGCUUCUGAAUGAGACAUGCUUUUAAGUACUAUUAUGUAAUUUAAUAUUGCCCUGAACUGUGUGGUUAGGACUGUAUUUUCCAGUUUGCUCAUGCAGGAAGUCAAUGCCAAUGCUACCAAGGGGGUGAGGUCCCUACAUCUGUCUUCUUGUCUUGUACCUUUUGAUUUUUUUGGCUUUAAGGGGAACUGAUCAUCCACCAUAUCCAAUUUGGUUUGUGACAGUGUUUAUGCAGGAAGCAGGCUAAGCCGUGGAAUCUGAUUUGGCAAUAGGCUUUCCUUUCGGCCCCCUCCCCCCCCCCCCCCCUUUUUUUUUUUUUUUUUUAUAAAUAUUUCUGCUACAAUGAUAAGAGUUUGAAGGAGAGUUUUUCAUUUUCUUAAAUUCUUUUUAAUACUUGGGUUUGUAACUGGCUUUCGUAGGAGGAUUAUAAUUCCAGUCUCCUUGAGUGAGGUGUUCAACUUCUAUUGUAAUUCUUGUUCCUUUUUCUUGAUGGCUUAUUUAAAUUUUUGGUCAUUCUGCAUUUGCAACCUCAAUAAUGAAUUCACAAGCUAA